rnacentral:rRNA from 1 species
UACGUAGGGUGCAAGCGUUGUCCGGAAUUAUUGGGCGUAAAGAGCUCGUAGGCGGUCUGUCACGUCGGCUGUGAAAACCCGAGGCUCAACCUCGGGCCUGCAGUCGAUACGGGCAAACUAGAGUACUGCAGGGGAGACUGGAAUUCCUGGUGUAGCGGUGAAAUGCGCAGAUAUCAGGAGGAACACCGGUGGCGAAGGCGGCAUCCUGGACUGGUACUGACGCUCAUGAGCGAAAGCGUGGGGAGCGAUCCGG